CACGAACCGUACGAACGUUAUUCGGAAUCACUGGGCUUAAAGAGUGCGUAGGCGGCCUGGAAAGUUGGGUGUGAAAUCCCUCGGCUCAACCGAGGAACUGCGCCCAAAACUACCCGGCUUGAGGGAGAUAGAGGUGAGCGGAACUGAUGGUGGAGCGGUGAAAUGCGUUGAUAUCAUCAGGAACACCGGUGGCGAAAGCGGCUCACUGGGUCUCCUCUGACGCUGAGGCACGAAAGCUAGGGGAGCAAACAGG
rnacentral:misc_RNA from 1 species